rnacentral:rRNA from 1 species
UUUGAUGGUGGCUCAGAUUGAACGCUGGCGGCAGGCCUAACACAUGCAAGUCGAGCGGUAACAGAAAGAAAGCUUGCUUUCUUUGCUGACGAGCGGCGGACGGGUGAGUAAUGCCUGGGAAUAUACCCUGAUGUGGGGGAUAACUAUUGGAAACGAUAGCUAAUACCGCAUAAUCUCUUCGGAGCAAAGAGGGGGACCUUCGGGCCUCUCGCGUCAGGAUUAGCCCAGGUGGGAUUAGCUAGUUGGUGGGGUAAUGGCUCACCACGGCGACGAUCCCUAGCUGGUCUGAGAGGAUGAUCAGCCACACUGGAACUGAGACACGGUCCAGACUCCUACGGGAGGCAGCAGUGGGGAAUAUUGCACAAUGGGGGAAACCCUGAUGCAGCCAUGCCGCGUGUAUGAAGAAGGCCUUCGGGUUGUAAAGUACUUUCAGUUGUGAGGAAGGCGUUGGAGUUAAUAGCUUCAGCGC